rnacentral:rRNA from 1 species
CGGGCUUGCCCGGGUGGAAAGUGGCGAACGGGUGAGUAACACGUGAGCAACCUGCCCCGAAGACGGGAAUAAGCCGGGGAAACCUGGUCUAAUGCCCGAUGCCUUCGCCGGACCGCAUGAUCCGGCGAGGAAAGCUCCGGCGCUUCGGGAUGGGCUCGCGGCUUAUCAGCUUGUUGGUGGGGUCACGGCCCACCAAGGCGACGACGAGUAGCUGGUCUGAGAGGAUGUCCAGCCACACUGGGACUGAGACACGGCCCAGACUCCUACGGGAGGCAGCAGUGGGGAAUAUUGGGCAAUGGGCGAAAGCCUGACCCAGCCACGCCGCGUGAGUGAUGAAGGCCUUCGGGUCGUAAAGCUCUGUGGGGAGGGACGAACAAAUCUGGGGCUAAUCACCCGGGUCCUGACGGUACCUCCUUAGCAAGCACCGGCUAACCCUGUGCCAGCAGCCGCGGUAAUACAGGGGGUGCAAACGUUGCUCGGAAUCAUUGGGCGUAAAGCGCACGUAGGCGGUCUGUUAUGUCGGAUGUGAAAGCCCUUGGCUUAACUGAGGAAGUGCAUCCGAAACUGGCAGGCUAGAGUACUAAAGAGGGUCGCGGAAUUC